GGGUUCCAACACCAUCACAAUAAUGCGGAGACCAGUUCCCCGUAAGGACAGCGCCGAGGCGGAUAGGUUAUUUCCGUGGCUGUUACCCAGCAGACGUUUUAUAUCUACUAGCCUUACGAGACGUCCCAAUCUUGUGGUGACCAAGAAGAAAAAAAGAAUCUCCAAGCAUAAGUCAAGAUCAUCUGGAAAACAUGUUAAUGUUCUGCUCAAGAAGACAAAAGACAUCACCCAAAUCCCCCACCUAUGUGAGCAAG